UGCAAGCUAGCUCAGUUGGUACAGCACGCAACUCUUCAUCUCAGGGUUGUGGGUUUGAGCCCCACAUUGUGCAA